rnacentral:misc_RNA from 1 species
GAUGAAGAACGCAGCGAAAUGCGAUAAGUAAUGUGAAUUGCAGAAUUCAGUGAAUCAUCGAAUCUUUGAACGCAUCUUGCGCUCCUUGGUAUUCCUUGGAGCAUGCCUGUUUGAGUAUCAUGAGCAAAUCUCAAAGUCAAUUCCUUUUGUUGAUUCAAUUGGUUUUGCUUUGGACUUGGAGGCCUUGCAGAUUUCACAGUCUGCUCCUCUUAAAUGCAUUAGCUGGAUCUCAGUAAUUAUGCUUAGUUCCACUCGGCGUGAUAAGUAUCACUCGCUGAGGACACUGUUAAAAAGGUGGCCAGGAAAAUACUGAUUGAACCGCUUCUAACGGUCUAUUAAGUUAGACAAUUACCCUUAAGUUUGAUCUCAAAUCAGGUAGGACUACCCGCUGAACUUAAGCAUAUCAAUAAGCGGAGGA